rnacentral:rRNA from 1 species
GCCCUAUGGGUUGUAAACUUCUUUUGUAUGGGAAGAAAAGCAGUUACGUGUAAUUGUCUGCCGGUACCAUACGAAUAAGGAUCGGCUAACUCCGUGCCAGCAGCCGCGGUAAUACGGAGGAUCCAAGCGUUAUCCGGAUUUAUUGGGUUUAAAGGGUGCGUAGGCGGCUCUAUAAGUCAGUAGUGAAAUCUCGAAGCUCAACUUCGAACGUGCUAUUGAAACUGUAGAGCUUGAGUACAGACGAGGCAGGCGGAAUGUGUUGUGUAGCGGUGAAAUGCUUAGAUAUAACACAGAACACCGAUAGCGAAGGCAGCUUGCCAGACUGUAACUGACGCUGAGGCACGAAAGCGCGGGGAGCGAACAGGAUUAGAUACCCUGGUAGUCCACGCCGUAAACGAUGAUUACUGGUUGUAGGCGAUAUAUUGUCUGUGACUGAGCGAAAGUAUUAAGUAAUCCACCUGGGGAGUACGUCGGCAACGAUGAAACUCAAAGGAAUUGACGGGGGCCCGCACAAGCGGAGGAACAUGUGGUUUAAUUCGAUGAUACGCGAGGAACCUUACCUGGACUUAAAUGUAGAUUGCAUAGAGUGGAGACAUUCUUUUCUUCGGACUAUCUACAAGGUGCUGCAUGGUUGUCGUCAGCUCGUGCCGUGAGGUGUCGGGUUAAGUCCCAUAACGAGCGCAACCCCUAUCGUUAGUUGCUAGCAGGUAAUGCUGAGAACUCUAGCGAGACUGCCACCGUAAGGUGUGAGGAAGGUGGGGAUGACGUCAAAUCAGCACGGCCCUUACGUCCAGGGCUACACACGUGUUACAAUGGCAGGUACAAAGGGCAGCUACAUAGCGAUAUGAUGCUAAUCUCAAAAACCUGUCUCAGUUCGGAUAGGAGUCUGCAACUCGACUCCUUGAAGCUGGAUUCGCUAGUAAUCGUAUAUCAGCAAUGAUACGGUGAAUACGUUCCCGGGCCUUGUACACACCGCCCGUCAAGCCAUGGAAGUUAGGGGUACCUAAAGUACGUAACCGCAAGGAUCGUCCUAGGGUAAAACUGGUAACUGGGGCUAAGUCGUAACAAGGUAGCCGUACCGGAAGGUGUGGCUGGAACACCUCCUUUCU